rnacentral:rRNA from 1 species
GACGAACGCUGGCGGCGUGCUUAACACAUGCAAGUCGAACGGAAAGGCCCUGCUUGUGUGCGGUGCUCGAGUGGCGAUCGCGUGCGUAUCACGUGAGUAUCCUGCCCUUGUCUUUCGGAUAGCUUCAGGAAACUGGGGCUAAUCCCGUAUAGCAGCUCCUGCUGCAUUGUGGGGGUUGGAAAGUUUCUGCUGUUGGGGAUGGACUCGCGGCUUAUCAGCUUGUUGGUUGGGUAGUGGCUUACCAAGGCUUUGACGGGUAGCCGGCCUGAGAGGGGGAACGGCGACAAUAGGACUGAGAUACGGCGCAGACUCGAACGGUAGACAGGAGUGGGGAACCUGACACAGUGGGCGGAAGCCGGAUGAGAAGACGCUGGGUGCGGGAAGACGUCCUGUGGGUUGAAAAACGCAGCCGGCUGAGACGAAGCGGUAGUGACGGUAACGGGUAAAGAAGCACCGGCUAACUACGUG